rnacentral:lncRNA from 1 species
GCUUGAGGCUCGAGCAAAGUGAUCCUGAAACAAUGUCAGAUCUGAGGACAGCCCCUCCCGCUCUCCCAGUGAAUCUUGCCAAGCCUGAUCACAACACAGCAGACAUCGAGAGGGAAAGGUCAGGCGGCCGGACCUCCUGAAGCUGGGAGCAGGUGGCCUCUGGAGCCAGAGGGCCAAGUGGCUCAGCUCACAGGAACAGAUAAAGAAUGGGACCAAAACAGCCCCGGGAUGUGGGCAACAGGCAAGUGGGAUUUCCAACUCCUUCAAAGGACUUCUUAGGACUUCAUUCUUCCCCACACAUCUUAAACACAUCCGUUCAACAGUGUCUCAUGUUCAGGGAGAGCUUUGGGGCCUUCACUACAAUAGUGACUCCAUAGUGCGAUGGGCUAUUUGAGGCAGAGCCCCAGCUGGAGGAGGCGAGUCUCCAGGCUUGUGUUUUGGAGGAUGCAGACCUAGGUGCUCGGUCUCCCGGCCGCUCCCACUCACACACGCUCUUUCUGCCCCGGUGUCCUGCUUCACCCCACGCCAAAGCAACAGAGGCUGCUGAUCAUGGGCUGAGACCUCAGGGACCCUGAGCUACA